rnacentral:rRNA from 1 species
AGUGAACGCUGGCGGUAGGCCUAACACAUGCAAGUCGAACGGCAGCACAGUAAGAGCUUGCUCUUACGGGUGGCGAGUGGCGGACGGGUGAGGAAUACAUCGGAAUCUACUUUUUCGUGGGGGAUAACGUAGGGAAACUUACGCUAAUACCGCAUACGACCUACGGGUGAAAGCAUGGGAUCUUCGGACCUUGCGCGAAUGAAUGAGCCGAUGUCGGAUUAGCUAGUUGGCGGGUUAAAGGCCCACCAAGGCGACGAUCCGUAGCUGGUCUGAGAGGAUGCUCAGCCACACUGGAACUGAGACACGGUCCAGGCUCCUACGGGAGGCAGCAGUGGGGAAUAUUGGACAAUGGGCGCAAGCCUGAUCCAGCCAUACCGCGUGGGUGAAGAAGGCCUUCGGGUUGUAAAGCCCUUUUGUUGGGAAAGAAAAGCAGCAGGUUAAUACCACGCUGUUCUGACGGUACCCAAAGAAUAAGCACCGGCUAACUUCGUG